GACGAACGCUGGCGGCGUGCUUAACACAUGCAAGUCGAACGGAAAGGCCCUGCUUUUGUGGGGUGCUCGAGUGGCGAACGGGGGAGUAACACGUGAGUAACCUGCCCUGGACUUUGGGAUAACUUCAGGAAACUGGGGCUAAUACCGGAUAGGAGCUCCUGCUGCAUGGUGGGGGUUGGAAAGUUUCGGCGGUUGGGGAUGGACUCGCGGCUUAUCAGCUUGUUGGUGGGGUAGUGGCUUACCAAGGCUUUGACGGGUAGCCGGCCUGAGAGGGUGACCGGCCACAUUGGGACUGAGAUACGGCCCAGACUCCUACGGGAGGCAGCAGUGGGGAAUAUUGCACAAUGGGCGGAAGCCUGAUGCAGCAACGCCGCGUGCGGGAUGACGGCCUUCGGGUUGUAAACCGCUUUCGCCUGUGACGAAGCGUGAGUGACGGUAAUGGGUAAAGAAGCACCGGCUAACUACGUG
rnacentral:rRNA from 1 species